GAGGGAGGAAGAUUUAACUUGGCAGCCCAAACAAAUGUUCUCUCUGAGAUCUCCAAGAAGCUGGCUGGCGGCUGGGCUGGCGGGGUACAGAUAAAGGGAUAGUGACUGGGGCUGGAGAAACAGGCGACUUGGCUGCUGGUGAAUCCCUGCCUGCCUCCCUAUGCUUGCACAGUGACUGGAGUGUAGAAGAGGGAAGAUUUGCCUGUGAGCUGUUUGUGAAGUUUAGAUGAGGGGGCAAGCUCAUGGUCUUUCUUAUCCGGACUGGUUUUUUUUUUAAGAGGUCCAAAGAAGGGGAAAUUCCUGUAGGAGCGUGUGCAAGGAGAUGGUGUUGUCCUCUGAGUUUUAUGGUUUUGGUUGUUUUGUUUUUCUCCAAAGGACAGAAGCAUCCCUGGCCCAGAGUCACACAGUUAGGAGACCUAGUUUUCUCAUAUGAAUCAGAAGUUUAGACUUGGGAACUUGGUGGCUGGGGCUGGGGGAGGAGCUAUAGAGUUUCCAAGACUUGAGCUGCUGUGGUUGUAAGACUUUCUGAGUAGUGCUCACAGGCUCACAGAGGGGACUGGACUUAGGAAAAAAGUUUGAAUAAAUAACCUUGUCUGUG
rnacentral:lncRNA from 1 species